AACGAGGCCGACCUGCGGCUGAGUUACCUGCGGAAGGAUCAUUAAAAAGAGUGUGUACCCCCCUGUAAAAUGGGUGGGUUACCUCCCGUCCUUUGUUGACCUCUUAGGAGGUUAUUUUGAACUUUUCUGCUUCGGUGGGGUUAAACCUACCGGAACACCCUCAAAUUCUGAUCAUUUAAAAAUUGUUCAGUCCGAUUUUUGUUAAUAAAAACAAAAAACUUUCAACAAUGGAUCUCAGAU
rnacentral:misc_RNA from 1 species